GGGUCUCCCAAGCCUGGGCCACUGAACCAUUUCACCUCUUGGAAAAACUUAAUGGUCAGAGUGGCCCACCCAGUCCAUGGACAGCAUGGAGUGGUAUGGUGGAAGAGGAGGGAAGAAAACCUGUGUAUUGUAAGUCAUAUUCUUCUAUGGUGUGAAGGUUAACGUAAGUUUUAAGAAAGUUUUUUUUUUUAAUUUUAUUAUAUGAUCUUGCUCUAAAGGGAUGUAAAUUCAGAUGCUGAAUUGCACACAUCCUUUCUCUUUCAUAUUUUCAAUAUUGAACGUAAUUUCAAUAUUUAACAUAAAACAAUGAGUACAUUGUCUCCACCUCAUUGUUUUUGGGUGGUGUUUGUGAGGAGCCUGCGUUCUUUGGAAGGAAGACCUUUCAGAUGACCUGACCAGUCCUCCUCUUCAGAACCCGGAUGCUGGCGAAGCAGUUUGAAUUUUAUGCUUGUGAAAGGGCUCCGUUGAUGAUUUUGAUGUCUGCAGCUUUCCACCCGUAUGACCAGACACAUUCUCACCAGCUCCAUAUAUCAAGAUAAGGAGGGGAAACCUGGUAGCUUUUCCUUCUGUUAACUGCUGGCAUCAGCUGAGUGAUGCAGACAUUUCUCUAUUAAGAACUGAGCUGAGACUGAAGCUUCAUUUUGUAUGAGACUGUGCAGAGGUCGUCUAAAGUCUCUCCCAGGUGUGGUUAUUAAGAUCCUGGAUUUGAAACUGUGACCUACUGGUUUGCCAGAUGCCAAGAACAAAUGCUCUGAAAUUGAUUUGCCAAAAGACAUGAUGAGCUGCUCUAACUUGCCUGGGAAGAGUGGAAUAUUUAACCUGUGGGUGAGACUCCCUCUUGCUACCUAUCAGCUUUGCCACUGCUCUGAUAGAGAAACAUCUUGGGAGCAGAGUUGACUACUCCCAACGCAGGCCACCUGUCUUGAAGAUGUGUAUCUAUAGUCAGAGGGAGGAGCCAUGUGCAAGCGUUUGGCUGGAUCACUACAAAUCUAUCAUGACUCUGGGAAAUCAACCGCUGUAUGAGAUCCCGGCGAUUGAUGAGGGAACUCACUUUCAUUUAAAAGGGACAGCAAGCAUAAUUCUCAAUGCACACAUAGUCUCAAUGGAGUGGAUUUUCAUGGACUGACUCAAGGUAUACUGCUCUAAAUCCUACUGUAAGGCUUCCUCAUCAAGUUACCUACCUUCUAAUUGAGUCUCCUCAUCGGCUGAAAUGUUUACUCACAUGGAGUUAAUGACAGUGUCUGCAUUAGAGGAUUUAGUCAAGAUCAAAUUAGAUAUUGCAAUGGAGUGCUGAGGACAACAGCUGGCAUGCUUAAAAUGCUUGCUAAAUGUGUACAAGUGCACAAGUUCUGUUUUAUUAAUAAAAACCAACACCUAUGUCA
ensembl:lncRNA LINC01102 long intergenic non-protein coding RNA 1102